UAUAAACGAUAAGCCCCGUAGUAUCUUUCUUGUUCUUAUUGUGGUUAGUAUACCAUCAUUAUUAGAUAAUUUUAUUAAAAAAAUUAUUAUAAUUAAACGAGUGUUAAAUAUAUUAGAUCAUGGUGCUGCUGAUGAAUAAGUUUCAAAUGGGUUACAAUAAAUUUAAUUUACUACGAAUUUAUAAAUGAAAUAUUGUAUUGAAGGUGGAUUUAAUAGUAAUAUAAAUUUAAUAUGUUUAUAUGAGAUUAG
rnacentral:rRNA from 1 species